rnacentral:lncRNA from 1 species
UGUUUUUGUUCACAUGUAUAAUUAUUAUUAUUUUUUUAUGAUUGUCAUCUAGAUCACAUGGAGCAAGGGAUCAAGAGCUGAUAAGCCUGACUUUUUCAGUCUUCUUAUUAUUUCUUCAGCAGGAUAUUUGAUGAACACUGGGGGCCACAUGGGUGCAGUAGGAUUUCUUUAUGUUUGACUGUCCUGGGCUCUCAAGGUGGAUGAGGAAUACUUCAAACAGGCUUAACACAGAUGGGAUUUUUCAAAUGAAAACCAGAUGAAAGUAAACAGCAAUCUCACC